UUCCUAUGGUUACUCGUUCAAAACAGAGCUUGCGUUUAUCUGCUUCUUUGUCAUCAAUUCAAUCAAACUUUCCGUCGGGAAAUUUUCCGUCUCCAAUUCCAAAAAUGUCGUCGUGCUGCGGUGGUAAAUGUGGUUGCGGGUCCGGCUGCAGCUGCGGCAGUGGCUGCAACGGGUGUGGGAUGGCUCCUGAUCUGAGCUACAUGGAGGGGUCCACCACUGAGACCCUCGUGAUGGGAGUUGCUCCCCAGAAGUCUCACAUGGAGGCAUCUGAGAUGGGAGUUGCUGCCGAGAACGGAUGCAAGUGUGGAGACAACUGCACCUGCAACCCCUGCAACUGCAAGUGAGAGGGACAGAUGGCACCUUCUGAUGAAGCAAGAGAAUCGCGGGGCUUAUAUGUUUAGCAGUAAUAUAUGUAUGUGUGUGUGUCGUAAUCAUGAAUCAUGAUCCAAAUUUACGAAGGUCGUGUUUUUAGAAUAAAGUGGCCAUGGCUUCUUCUGAGCUGCACGUCCUACUAGGCUGGGAUCUGGUCCUAGGUUAUGGCUGCUUGUUGUCUGUUUGCUUUGUACAUGCAGUAGUCGUAUUUGUGUUUUUAUGUUCGUGUUAACUUGGUGGAUCGUAUUAUGUGUUUCUGAUGAAAUUAAUGAAAAACUUGCUCCAUCUUUUGCUUUAA